rnacentral:misc_RNA from 1 species
AAGGAGUCUAACAUCUAUGCGAGUGUUUGGGUGUCAAGCCCGAGCGCGCAAUGAAAGUGAACGGAGGUGGGAACCCUUACCGGUGCACCAUCGACCGAUCCUGAUGUCUUCGGAUGGAUUUGAGUAAGAGCAUAGCUGUUGGGACCCGAAAGAUGGUGAACUAUGCCUGAAUAGGGUGAAGCCAGAGGAAACUCUGGUGGAGGCUCGCAGCGGUUCUGACGUGCAAAUCGAUCGUCAAAUUUGGGCAUAGGGGCGAAAGACUAAUCGAACCAUCUAGUAGCUGGUUCCUGC